UCCCGCCAAAGAAAGAAACCGAGUCUCUGGAGGCUUCUUCGACACUGAUCUUAAAAACUCUAAAAGCUCAUUCUCGAAAGAAAAAAACGAAGAGAAAAAACUCACUCUAGCUCUGGUCGGAUUUUCGAGUUUGAACUCACCUCAAUGUCGAAGAAAAGAGGUCUUUCGCUGGAAGAGAAGCGUGAGAAAAUUCUUCAAAUAUUUUACGAUUCUCAAGACUUCUUCCUUCUUAAGGAACUUGAGAAAUUAGGACCAAAGAAAGGUGUGAUUACCCAGUCCGUGAAAGAUGUUGUCCAAAGUCUAGUGGACGAUGAUCUUGUUUCAAAAGACAAGAUAGGAACCUCUGUGUAUUUUUGGAGUCUUCCUAGCUGUGCUGGAAAUCAGCUGAGAAAUGUAACUCGCAAACUUGAAUUCGAUCUUCAUAGCAGUAAGAAGCGGUUUGCAGAACUUGCUGAGCAGUGUGAAUCGUUAAAGAAGGGGCGAGAGGCAUCUGAUGAAAGAGAGGAGGCUUUAAAUGAGUUGAAAUCCAUUCAGCAAAAGCAUACUGAGCUGAAGGAAGAAAUGGAACAAUAUGCGGACAAUGAUCCAGCUGCCUUUGAAGCAAUGAGAAAUGCAAUUGAAGUUGCUCAUUCAGCAGCUAACAGAUGGACAGACAACAUCUUCACACUGCGCCAGUGGUGCUCAAACAAUUUCCCUCAGGCCAAAGAGGAGCUUGACAACUUGUACAAGGAGGUAGGAAUAACCGACGACUUCGACUACUUUGAGUUGUCAUCAAUUCCAUUCAGCUCAGUGACCGAUUAGAGGUUUGAAGUGCAAUAUAGGCCAUGCUUUAGGUGCAAUUAUCGUACAUAUAAAGACCAAGUAAUGCCACCUCAAAUUGUAAUGCAGUUUUGUCUUUACCAGAGUUGUUGGCAGCCUCUUACACUUCAAGACAGCCUGUUUGUAAAACCUGCUUUGGAUUUGCAUAUAUUCGUUUCAGCUGUAGAAUAAUGCGACAUGAAAUGGUCGCUGAAUAUAUGAUGAUCAAAUGAAUCAACCAGUUUAAUUACUUGGGAAUCAGCUGUUAUUAAAACAUAGGAAUUGCCCUAUUCAAAGCUUCUGAACUGCCAUCGUGGAGGCGUGUCUAAUAUUUCGACGUUGAUUUCUACGACUAAGCCAACGGUUAGUAUCUUUAUAAGAGAAAAAUUUGAAAUUGAAAAAACACAACAUAAAGUGGUGAUAUUCCACAACUCAGCAGAAACCAGAGAAGUCAGUAAUAAUAAUAAUAUUUCAAGCAAGGCAUGUGGGGGAGAAGUAGAAGGGAAUCCACUAUUUAUUGGAGGAGGUCCACCAAUACACAGCUAGACAAUAACUGGAGUUUCAACGUGCAGCAUUUACUUAUCCAACACGUGGCACCAAUUAACGGCGUAGAUUCAGGCCUGAGACCCCACAUUUGUCACCAGCAAUUAUAAACACAGUGGCCUUGCUCUGUACAAAGAUUCUCUCAGGCUUGGUCAUUGGUCAUGUCUUUCUAUCUCUUCUUCCUUUUAUAAAAACCUCAACAGAGCUACUGAGAUCACUCCUAAGAAGAUUAUUCUCUUAAAAAAAAUAUCCCUUUCCCAUUCUUUUUUUUUUUAAAAAAAAAAAAGUCUUGUCAAGUCAAGUUUUGGAGGGUUCCUUU